GAGGGGUGGCCGAGCGGUCAAAGGCAGCAGACUGUAAAUCUGUCGACGGAAGUCUACGAGAGUUCGAAUCUUUCCCCCUCC
rnacentral:tRNA from 1 species